GCCUAGUUAGCUUAGUUGGUAGUGCGUCUGCCUUGUAAGCGCUAGGCCGCGGGUUCGAUUCCUGCCCGGCGCG
rnacentral:tRNA from 1 species